AUUGAACGCUGGCGGCAGGCCUAACACAUGCAAGUCGAGCGGAUGAAGGGAGCUUGCUCCUGGAUUCAGCGGCGGACGGGUGAGUAAUGCCUAGGAAUCUGCCUGGUAGUGGGGGAUAACGUCCGGAAACGGGCGCUAAUACCGCAUACGUCCUGAGGGAGAAAGUGGGGGAUCUUCGGACCUCACGCUAUCAGAUGAGCCUAGGUCGGAUUAGCUAGUUGGUGGGGUAAAGGCCUACCAAGGCGACGAUCCGUAACUGGUCUCAGAGGAUGAUCAGUCACACGGGAACAGAGAAACGGUCCAGACUCCGACGGGAGGAAGCAGUGGGGAAUAUUGGACAAGGGGCGAAAGCCUGAUACAGCCAUGCCGCGUGUGUGAAGAAGGUCUUCGGAUUGUAAAGCACUUUAAGUUGGGAGGAAGGGCAGUAAGUUAAUACCUUGCUGUUUUGACGGUACCAACAGAAUAAGCACCGGCUAACUUCGUG
rnacentral:rRNA from 1 species